ACUAGAAGACAGCUGGAGUGCAUGGCACUGUACUGGGCACCACCUGUAUGCAGAGCAUUAUACUAGAUGCCUACUGGAGUGCCUAGCACUGUACUGAGCACCAUCAACUUCUGU